rnacentral:rRNA from 1 species
AUGGCUCAUCGAUCAUUUCAUUUCUUGUUGAGGUCGAUCCCUGCCUUCUUGGCGACGGCGUCGAGGCCGUGCUUCUCGAUGGUCUUGAGGGCCUUGGUGGAGAGGCGGAGCUUGACGUGGCGAACCCGAGCGAGGCGUUGGCGCGGCGGAGCGGAGCCCUGGCGGCGGCGGGCAUGGAGACGGAGACGGUGUAGGAGCACAUCAUGGAGAUGGACGCCAUGGAUGGAUGCAGCGCUCUCACGGCGGAACAAGAAAGAAAAGAAAGAGGAUAAGAAGAAGACCCACCACGGCGGAAGCAAGAGGAGGAUAAGAAGAAGAAACAAGGCGGGCCAGCCCACUCCCGCUCUGCGCAGCCCAGCACUUGGCAACUUUUUCUCCCCUAUUUCAAUACCCACAUCACAGAAAAAAAUCAAUCUCUCCCCUGCCUGA